UCUCAGGAAAUAAAACUUAACGUUACUUACUGUCUUACUGUAUACCUCAGAAUUCCUGGCGUUGCUAUAGCAACAGUUGAAUAGGAAGGAGUGCAACAAGGCUUAGCUAGUUUAGCAUCGGCUAAUGUAGCCUGAAUGUAGUAAUGUUAUACUAUAUAAUAUACUAUAACGUACUAUAGGCUACGUUUUUUGUUUGUUUCUUAUUGUUAUGUAUUUUCUCUUGUGUACAUUGUUAUUGCUUAUAUUGAUUCUAUUUUUACAGUGUAACGUGCUUUUAAAUAACAAUAAAUAUAAAAGUUAAAUGUGUUAUUAAUUUCUCACUAAAUGAGCAGGACAGUAAUAGUAGCCUCACAUAAACCAAUAUACCAACUGUAGACAUAUACAACCUUGUUAAUCUACAUGGUUUACAUCAGCCAUUCCCACUGGUGGGCCGCGAAGGUACUGCAGGUGGGCCGCGAGAGGUCAUUUACAAUAAAUAAAUAAAAUGUUUUUAAUGUUGUCUGUAUUUUACUUAAAACGAUUGAUAAUUUAUAAGAUACAAAACGUACAUAUUUUUCUUAGUUUAAGUAUUAUUUGAACAAUUCUAGCGGCACAUUAGUUAUGUGAAACAUUAAUUGAUGAAGCACAAACAAUUUAAAUGAACAGAUUAAUAAAACAAUAAGGCUCUCGCUCGAAACGGCUGCUCUUGUCCGCCUGUCGUUAUUCAACAAAAGGCGCCGCCAAACAAAACAAUGUCCAAUGGGGCGCCCUCUUGUAGUAUUAAAGUAAAUAUAUAUGAGCUCCGGAGAAAAUGGUAUACAAAACAUACAUUGUCGGUGAAUACAUUUUUAAUCGGUUAAAUUCUGAAGGUCAUUUAAUCAUCCCUAGUUUAUGUUUUGAUCAGAGUUGUGAUCAGCGCCGCCGCUCCCAUAACGCGCACUACGCGCUGCGCGUAGGGCACCGAGUCCUGAGGGCAGGCCCGGGGUGGGUAAUCGGGAGAAUCGGGAGAGUUCCCGGUGGGCCGCUUCACUUCUGGGCCGGUCGAGAAUUUUAUUUGUUGACAUUUGUCACGUUAGUCCAUCUUCUUUUAAAGUGGGCUACACACGUUCCGCAUUCUGACAGCGCAGCCUCUGCAUGGGUUGUACCAUGCGAGGAAGUUCACCCCUCCCAAAUAUUAGAGUUGGUUCAGUCCAUUAUGGAACCAACCAACUCAUUUUGGGAGAGGUGAACUUCCACGCAUGGUAGGCUACAGCCGGUGUACCAUGCGAGGAAGUUCACCCCUCCAAAAUAGAGUUGGUUCGGUCCUUAGCGGUCUUUUCCAAAAAGUUUUCUCAGCUACCUAUAGCUGGGCCGGCCCGACCGCAACGAUACGCGUCAGGGAGGAUGGACGGGAGGAAGAGGGCAGGAGGGGCUGAAAAAGCCAGGUUGAAAAAAAGAAAGGCAUUGGAGGAGGAUGCUGCCAAAUGUGCCAAGCUUCCCGAUUUAUUUUCAAGAAGACAAACACAAGUGGCAACAGCUUCGGAGCAGCAGAUAAGAGUCUCCUGCUGAAAAUGAUGAGCCCGACAUUUGCAAUGAGGAGGCCGUGACUACAGGGACAUGUAGAGAGGAUAACAGAGGAAACUAUAUGAAUUAAAGUUAUAUAUUCUAAGAAAGAGCAGUACAGUACUUGAUGAACCAAUAUGCAUUGUUUGCUCAGAAGUGGGUGUAGUAAAGGAGUAAAUCACCACUAUAUAAUACUCAUGCAGAAAAAUGAUAAUGACCAUGACAAUGACGGCCCCCAUGAGGUCUCACUCCAACAAAUCUGGCCUACUGCCUAAUCUGAGUCUGACACCCCUGCUACGCCCUUCUGCCUUUUUUUAUGUUGUGCAUAUUUGUUGUUAACUUCUCAUCUUAAGUGGAUUAUUAUUGUUGUAUUUAACCGUUACAUUAUUUGUUGGACCAUGGUAUGAAUAAAAGAACUACAGGAUA